rnacentral:rRNA from 1 species
GGAUUAGGGCAUGCAAGUCGAACGAGAAAGGUUUCUUCGGAAGCCGAGUAAAGUGGCGGACGGGUGAGUAAUGCAUGGAUAGCUCACCCCUGAGAUGGGAAUAACGCUUCGAAAGGAGUGCUAAUACCCAGUGCCGUCUCGGGCCGAUGGGCUCGAGAUGAAAGGAGGCCUCUGAUUCAAGCUUCCGCUCAGGGAGAGGUUCAUGUCCUAUUAGCUAGUUGGUGAGGUAACGGCCCACCAAGGCUUCGAUGGGUAGCCGACCUGAGAGGGUGACCGGCCACACUGGGACUGAGACACUGCCCAGACUCCUACGGGAGGCUGCAAGUCGAGGAUCUUCCGCAAUGCGCGAAAGCGUGACGGAGCGACGCCGCGUGGGUGAUGAAGGCCUUCGGGUUGUAAAACCCUGUCGCCUGGGAAGAAUGACGGGAGGUGAAUAGCCAUCUCGUCUGACGCUACCAGGAAAGGAAGCACCGGCUAAAUACGUGCCAGCAGCCGCGGUAAUACGUAUGGUGCGAACGUUGUUCGGAAUCACUGGGCAUAAGGAGCACGUAGGCGGUGGAGCAAGUCCAUUGUGAAAUCCCCCGGCUUAACCGGGGAACUGCAGUGGAUACUACUUCGCUGGAGUACAGGAGGGGAGAGUGGAAUUCCUGGUGGAGCGGUGAAAUGCGUAGAUAUCAGGAGGAACGCCGGCGGCGAAAGCGACUCUCUGGCCUGUUUCUGACGCUGAGGUGCGAAAGCUAGGGAAGCAAACGGGAUUAGAUACCCCGGUAGUCCUAGCCCUAAACGAUGGGCACUAAGUAGAGGGGUUUU